UACGUAGGGGGCUAGCGUUGUCCGGAAUCAUUGGGCGUAAAGAGCGCGUAGGCGGCCCGGUAAGUCUGCUGUAAAAGUCAAAGGCUUAACCUUUGAAAGUCAGUGGAUACUGCCGGGCUAGAGUCCGGAAGAGGCGAGUGGAACUCCUGGUGUAGCGGUGGAAUGCGCAGAUAUCAGGAAGAACACCAACGGCGAAGGCAGCUCGCUGGGACGGAACUGACGCUGAGGCGCGAAAGCGUGGGGAGCAAACAGG
rnacentral:rRNA from 1 species